GACGAACGCUGGCGGCGUGCCUAAUACAUGCAAGUCGAGCGCAGGAAGCUGACGGAACUCUUCGGAGGGAAGGCAGUGGAAUGAGCGGCGGACGGGUGAGUAACACGUAAGGAACCUACCUCAAGGAUUGGGAUAACUCCGAGAAAUCGGAGCUAAUACCGGAUAGUUCAUCGGACCGCAUGGUCCGCUGAUGAAAGGCGCUCCGGCGUCACCUUGAGAUGGCCUUGCGGUGCAUUAGCUAGUUGGUGGGGUAACGGCCCACCAAGGCGACGAUGCAUAGCCGACCUGAGAGGGUGAUCGGCCACACUGGGACUGAGACACGGCCCAGACUCCUACGGGAGGCAGCAGUAGGGAAUCUUCCACAAUGGACGAAAGUCUGAUGGAGCAACGCCGCGUGAGUGAUGAAGGUUUUCGGAUCGUAAAACUCUGUUGUAAGGGAAGAACACGUACGAGAGGGAAUGCUCGUACCUUGACGGUACCUUACGAGAAAGCCACGGCUAACUACGUGCCAGCCGCCGCGGUAA
rnacentral:rRNA from 1 species